CGUCUCUAUAGCAAUAAGGAGCCGCCACCUGUUCCUGAAGAGGGGACUCGGUCCACCUGAGGCCUGAGGCGGGCGCGGGGAGGAGUCCGAGGCCCCGCGGGCUCUGCGCCGUCUCGUCGGCCGCCUGCGGGCGUGAAGGGAUUGGAAUGAAAACUGACCUUUUCCAGAAGAACUAUAGAGCUGAGAAAGAGGAAUAAAAAUCCAGGCUGACACGCUGUGGUGAGAGAAGAAUUCACUGACGAGUAAGCUGAGGACCAGAGAGGAGAGGAGCUUGCUCAAGGAGGCACACUUAGAAGGCGGCAGAGCCGGGACUCAGGCUCAGGGGCUCACAACAGGAGAGUUACUCCGGACGGUGACAAGGAAGGAAUAAGGAGAUGGCUCUUGCAAGUGCUUCUACAAAGCAGCAGCACAUACCACGGCCUCAAGGGGGCGGCGGGUAGGGGGGUGUGGGGUGUGGGUGGAGUGGGGUGGGUAAAAUGUCCCUGCAUUCUCUGGGGUCUCCUACACUCGCCUCAGGUGGCAGUUUGCUUUUGGGUGCCUCUCUCCUUCAAGGAAAUCUCUGACAUUCACUUCAUUCUGAUUUCUCUUGCAGAUGUUGAGGGAGAAGGGUGGGGCUGGGGGACCCACAGCUAGUAUCUCUCAGUUCUCGUCCUGCUUCCAAGGAUGCCUCUGCCAGGCCUCUGCCAGGGGAGGGACUUAGCCUCCCCUGCCAAGUCUCUUUCCAGGAGCUUUUGCUUUUUCUCUCUCUGCUCCUGAGCUACCCCAUCUGUUAAAUGAAUCUGGUGCCUCUAUCUUGACAGAAGAUACAGUCUUAAUGGAGAACAUGCAUGUACUGAAACAACAGUACCCCAAGGUCAAUGUCAGGCCCUACCAUAUCCCAGCCAUCUAUCUAUUUUGGGUAAUUUAUUUCAUUUCGCUGAGUCUCAUCUUCCACAUCUAUAAAAUGGGUAUGUGCCUACAGCUGCAUAGGUGAGGCAUCUAUCACACCAGCCCUAGAGUGAAAUAAAACUGCAGUUCAAAUCUCAGCUGUGUGACUCAGAUAAGUUAAUUUCAGCAAGCUUCAGUUUUAUGACGAAGGGAAUAUAAACCUCAUCGGGUUAUGGUGUUGACUGAAUGAGCUAAUGAAUGGAAAACCCUGGCACACAGUAGGCAUUCAAUAGGUGGUGGCUAUUGCUGUUAUUUCGACUACUUCUCAGAAGGAACAAGGACCACAGAUGUCUGAUGGUAAAGGUAUAGUAGUGCCUGGGAAGGAGCAGUCUUGUUGCAGGCCAGACUCUGACCCAGCUGAGUGUGAGUGCAGCCAACUGGGCUCAAGCCUCACCACCCUCCAUAGAGUCCUGUCUGUCACACAUUCCUUCUGAGAAGGUUCCAAAAAUGCCAUGCAUUCCAGCACACUGCCCUUGUCAGCAGCGCUUCCAAACUGGAAGGGUGGAAGGAAACUUACCUGCCAGGUAGAGCAGCUCUUUCCCCACCACCUUGUACCUCCCACCCGGCCUUCAGAAGGCACAGACACUCUAAUGAGCACUCAUGGCUACCAUCAACUCAGAGCUUUCCUAUGUGCCAGGUGCUCCACCACAAACGCACCAGGCAAGAACUGCUAACCUCAUUCUGCUGGUGGGAAAACCGAAGCGAAGAAACGUCAGCCCGCCCAGAUGACUGACUAGGAACGGAUGAAGCCAGGAUCUGGGACGCAGGCUUGACUCUGAAAUGUGUAUGGCCUCCUCAUUCUCUUUUCUGCCUCCUCUGAAAAGACAGCGACUCAACAUCUUCUUGCCACUGUUACAAUUUAAUCAUUCAGCGUAGAUCAGCCCCUUUACAUACAAGAGGUAGCAGGGCAGUACCCUUGUCCCGGAGAAUCACACAGGGGUAGGAUUUCAGAAGACUGAGAGGUCACAUGACUGCCCUAGGUCACACGACAUAGUAAAGAGGCAAAGCUAGAAGCAAGAUUCAUGUCUCCCCUGACGUCUUUUUUAAGAAAAUAUAUUUAUUUUUAUUGUCUAUUUGGCUGUUCCAGGUCUUAGCUGUGGCAUGUGGGAUCAGUGAUCUUUGCUGUGACAUGGAGGAUCUUAGUGGCAUGUGGGAUCUGGUUCCCUGACCAGGAAUUGGACCAGGGCCCCCUGCCUUGGGAGCAUGGAGUCUUAGUCACUGAACCACCAAGGAAGUCCCUCCUCUGACUUCUGACUCCUGGAUCAGUGCUCCUUAGUCUGUACCCUGAGAGCUGCGGAUCUCCCCUCUUCCAGUUCUCAGUUUUCCUUUUCCUCAUGAUCUGAUCAGUCACAAAUCCUUCUGUCAAGUGGCAUAUGGUACUUAUCCCACAUCCUUCUCCCCAGUAUACACUGUCCAAGGCCCUCUAGAAUGUACAAAAGAAAUAGAAAAUAUGAUCCCCAAUCAAAGAGGUGUAUCAGGGACGUCCCUGGUGAUCCAGUGGAUGAGAGUCCACCUGCAGGUUCGAUCCCUGGUCUGGGAAGAUCCCACGUGCCAUGGAGCAACUGAGCCCGAGCCCCAGCUCCUGAAGCCCGCGAGCCCGAGAGCCUGCACACCUCAGGGAAGAGUAGACCCCCACUUGCUGCAACUAGAGAAAGCCCACACUGCAGCAAUGAAGACCCAGCAGAGCCGAAAAUUAAUUCAUUUUAAAAAGAGGUCAGCACCAGUGUAUGCUUUCAGACCCCUUUGUACCAUAAGGCAAAUCCCCAAAUGCCCAGAGUCUCACCAGGAAGGCAAGGCUUGUAUAUGCAAAAUAAUAUCUGAAUGCAACAUCAAGCAAUCCAGACAGAGAGUACCAGAGAAAGUCAGAGGAGACAGGAGUCGAUCAUCCAAGUAGGUUCCGUGGACAUUAGGAGGGAUUUGAGGUAAAUGUUAAUGACACUUAGAAAGAGAGGUACAAGAGAGGAAUAUAAACAAAAAUCAGGGACAGAGAUAAAGAACAGUCAGAACAACAACAGUAGAAGAAAUAGACAAAAGGAGUGGGGCACAUGCUAGGUCAGUGGACAGGUCGACCCUGGGCAGGCCUUGUUUCCCACCUGCCCAGGAUGGCUGAGCAGCCGCUUGGACAGAUAAGCAGAAGAUUGGAAGUAACGCUCUCUCAAAGUGUGUUCUGGCCCUGGGAUUCUAGGAGUAGCUUGUUCCCCAAGGCCCCUGGUCUUGUCUCUGUGCAGAGGUCUGCUGGCAGUCCUGCCAGGACCUGCUGGGGGCGGGGAGAACCUGGUCUGAGCCGCCCACACCUCCCCACUGGGCAGCCUCCUUGGCCUCUCAUCCCAGGGUCCCCCCCCCCAGCCCUGCCUCCCUGCCCACCCCCACACCUGAGUCACUUUGCCACCUGCUUCCUCCCCACCUGCUCCCUGGCUGCUUUCAUGAAGGAAGCAAAAAUCUCCAACCUGCCAAUUGGCAUGAGCACUGAUGUGUGGUUCCAGACUUCUCCACAUCACAAGGCAAGUCUCCAAACUGCCCCAAGCCUUCGCCCUGUCACCUCCAACACAGCUGCUCUUCCACACUUCGGAUGCCGCUCCACCAGGCUCAGCCCCUUACGUCCCAAUCAGUGCUCUCACCUCCUGUUUCCUUGAGAAGCCGGAAGCCAUCUGACAUGCACUUCAUAUCUCCCACCUCCC